GGGCUCGUAGUUCAGCGGUAGAACGCUGCUCUCGCACAGCAGAGGCCCCGGGUUCGACUCCCGGCGAGUCCA
rnacentral:tRNA from 1 species